UACAGAGGUCCCAAGCGUUGUUCGGAUUCACUGGGCGUAAAGGGUGCGUAGGUGGUCAGGUAAGUCGGAUGUGAAAUCUCCGAGCUCAACUCGGAAACUGCAUUGGAAACUACCUGGCUCGAGGGUUGGAGGGGAGACUGGAAUUCCUGGUGUAGCGGUGAAAUGCGCAGAUAUCAGGAGGAACACCGGUGGCGAAGGCGGGUCUCUGGGCCGAUACUGACGCUGAGGAGCGAAAGCGUGGGGAGCGAACAGG
rnacentral:rRNA from 1 species